CACGUAGGGUGCGAGCGUUGUCCGGAAUUAUUGGGCGUAAAGAGCUCGUAGGCGGUGUGUCACGUCGGCCGUGAAAAACCUGCAGCUUAACUGUGGGCGUGCGGUCGAUACGGGCAUCACUGGAGUUCGGCAGGGGAGACUGGAAUUCCUGGUGUAGCGGUGAAAAUGCGCAGAUAUCAGGAGGAACACCGGUGGCGAAGGCGGGGUCUCUGGGCCGAUACUGACGCUGAGGAGCGAAAAGCGUGGGGAGCAAACAGG
rnacentral:rRNA from 1 species